UUUUCUUAUCAAAGUUGCAAAAAUGAAAGUGAUUUCUGUGCUUCUGUUAGCAGUUGUUGCCGUUUUCGGCAUUUUAACUUUUUCUGUCGAAGCUACACCAAUUAGAAGUUUAGAGACACCUACAAAAGCCCCUUCUAAAUCCAUAAAUGUUUCCAAACUUCCCUCCAUUCCGGAAAAGAAAUGAUCUCCCUAAGAAGGCAGUGGCGUCAUCCUCCAUUCUAAGGUUAUGGGAAAAGAGUAAUGAUUAAUGCACUGGUACAAAGUAAGAUAAAAACAUCAUUGAAAUGUUUUUUUAACGUUCGAUAAUAAAAAUGAUUUCCCAAAGA